UGAAUCUCUGAGGACAAUCUGGUGCUUUAU
rnacentral:piRNA from 1 species